CUGGCUAUUCCCCUGUAAUUCUCCCAUUAGUGCCAUAAGUUGUUGUACUUCCUUCUCUGAGGGACUACCCAGCUCAGGAUCCUGGGUCACAAAUGAGACUGGGACUAUUCGGUAAAUCAUCUACCACAGUUGGAACCUACAGUUUCAAAUUGCAGAGUGAUGAGAGCAGAGUUCUGGAUUGAUAUCUAAUCUAUAACUCAAGUUCCGGAGGAUCUGAAACUCUCCUUUGGAUUCCAUGGGCACCUGGACCACACAUGAUACAUGCAUGAAGGCAGAGAAAAUGUUCAUAAAAUGAAACAAAUCUACAGCGACUGAUGGAAGCAGAGACAGACACUCCUAAAACUGAAC